UGCUUACACAUGCAGUCGAACGAUGAAGCCCAGCUUGCUGGGUGGAUUAGUGGCGAACGGGUGAGUAACACGUGAGUAACCUGCCCCCGACUCUGGGAUAAGCCCGGGAAACUGGGUCUAAUACCGGAUAUUACCUCUUGCCGCAUGGCAGGUGGUGGAAAGAUUUAUCGGUGGGGGAUGGACUCGCGGCCUAUCAGCUUGUUGGUGAGGUAAUGGCUCACCAAGGCGACGACGGGUAGCCGGCCUGAGAGGGUGACCGGCCACACUGGGACUGAGACACGGCCCAGACUCCUACGGGAGGCAGCAGUGGGGAAUAUUGCACAAUGGGCGAAAGCCUGAUGCAGCGACGCCGCGUGAGGGAUGACGGCCUUCGGGUUGUAAACCUCUUUCAGUAGGGAAGAAGCGAAAGUGACGGUACCUGCAGAAGAAGCGCCGGCUAACUACGUGCCAGCAGCCGCGGUAAUACGUAGGGCGCAAGCGUUAUCCGGAUUUAUUGGGCGUAAAGAGCUCGUAGGCGGUUUGUCGCGUCUGCCGUGAAAGUCCGAGGCUCAACCUCGGAUCUGCGGUGGGUACGGGCAGACUAGAGUGAUGUAGGGGAGACUGGAAUUCCUGGUGUAGCGGUGAAAUGCGCAGAUAUCAGGAGGAACACCGAUGGCGAAGGCAGGUCUCUGGGCAUUUACUGACGCUGAGGAGCGAAAGCAUGGGGAGCGAACAGGAUUAGAUACCCUGGUAGUCCAUGCCGUAAACGUUGGGCACUAGGUGUGGGGGACAUUCCACGUUUUCCGCGCCGUAGCUAACGCAUUAAGUGCCCCGCCUGGGGAGUACGGCCGCAAGGCUAAAACUCAAAGGAAUUGACGGGGGCCCGCACAAGCGGCGGAGCAUGCGGAUUAAUUCGAUGCAACGCGAAGAACCUUACCAAAGGCUUGACAUGUGCCAGACCGCUUCAGAGAUGGAGUUUCCCUUCGGGGCUGGUUCACAGGUGGUGCAUGGGUUGUCGUCAGCUCGUGUCGUGAGAUGUUGGGUUAAGUCCCGCAAC
rnacentral:rRNA from 1 species